GUCUAUGGCCAUACCAUCCUGAAUGUGCCCAGUCUCAUCUGAUCUCGGAGGCUAAGUAGGGUCGGGCCUGGUUAGUACUUGGAUGGGAGACUGCCUGGAAAUACCGGGUGCUGUAGGCU
rnacentral:rRNA from 1 species